UACAGAGGGGACUAGCGUUGUUCGGAAUUACUGGGCGUAAAGCGCACGUAGGCGGAUUUGUAAGUCAGGGGUGAAAUCCCGGGGCUCAACCUCGGAACUGCCUUUGAUACUGCAAAUCUCGAGUCCGGAAGAGGUGAGUGGAAUUCCUAGUGUAGAGGUAAAAUUCGUAGAUAUUAGGAAGAAUACCAGUGGCGAAGGCGUCUCUCUGGUCCGUUACUGACGCUGAGGCGCGAAAGCGUGGGGAGCAAACAGG
rnacentral:rRNA from 1 species